rnacentral:rRNA from 1 species
GAUGAACGCUGGCGGCGUGCUUAACACAUGCAAGUCGAACGGUGAAGCCAAGCUUGCUUGGUGGAUCAGUGGCGAACGGGUGAGUAACACGUGAGCAACCUGCCCUGGACUCUGGGAUAAGCGCUGGAAACGGCGUCUAAUACUGGAUAUGAGCUUCCACCGCAUGGUGGGGGUUGGAAAGAUUUUUUGGUCUGGGAUGGGCUCGCGGCCUAUCAGCUUGUUGGUGAGGUAAUGGCUCACCAAGGCGUCGACGGGUAGCCGGCCUGAGAGGGUGACCGGCCACACUGGGACUGAGACACGGCCCAGACUCCUACGGGAGGCAGCAGUGGGAAUAUUGCACAAUGGGCGAAAGCCUGAUGCAGCAACGCCGCGUGAGGGAUGACGGCCUUCGGGUUGUAAACCUCUUUUAGCAGGGAAGAAGCGAAAGUGACGGUACCUGCAGAAAAAGCGCCGGCUAACUACGUGCCAGCAGCCGCAGUAA